UGCAGUAAAGAAGAAAAUUGGUUCGCGUUUAACUCAAGUUACAUACCGGAGAAAUUAAAUAUGCCACAUGUAAAAUAAUUUCAUCAAGUGCCAGAAAGUUACGGGGAAGUGUAAAAGAAGGAGAAAACGAGUUCAUUUUUUCCCAAAUUCGAUCUGAAAUUCACAACAAUAAUUUACCGGAGUCGACCAUGUUCCAAUUCCACACUUACUUCAACUAUGUCCCCUCAAAUUCCACGCCCACAAAAUUUAGUGCAACUUUUCCUCCAGAUAAUAAGGAACCCCGCAAAUCCAUCAAUCCCUUAAGGUUUUUUGGUAAAUUUUACCCCUCUGCAAUCAACAGACUGCAAAAUACCUCCCCCACACGUGAUCACUUUUAGCAGCACCUCCCCAAUUUGUGGGCCACCCUCCGUGAAGACAACUUUUCAUCAUUAUCUGCAAAUUUGUCGAGUUCCUGAAGCAACAAGUAAUUUCAAAUCCUCUAUUUCGACCUAGGUUAUCCACCUGAAAAAUAUUUCGUAAUCUUAGAAAAUAGCAUAUAAGUAGUUACUCCACCAUUUUAGGUUUUAAUUAUUCCAAUUUUUCUACUAAUUAUCUCUCGUCAAACUUUUCUCAACAAAAUUCCAACGUAUGAAUAUUAAUUACUUCUAAAUUAUGCAGUACUCAAGGUUUGCUAAAUUUAGCCGGAUACUUUGUUAUGGAUUUGGCCAAAGCUCAUGGCACGUGAUUUUAGAGAGCACAAGGUUUUUUUAGUGGAGAGAAUAUUAAUCUA